rnacentral:rRNA from 1 species
GACGAACGCUGGCGGCGUGCUUAACACAUGCAAGUCGAACGGAAAGGCCCUGCUUUUGUGGGUGUGACGUUUGCGGAGGGGGGGUGAAAAACAUGGGUAUCAUCCCCUUAAAUUUGGGGUAAAUCUUGGGAAAAGGGGCGCUAACAGCGUAGAAGAUCUUGAACCGUGGUGGGGAAAGGAAAGAUUCGGCGGUUGGGGAUGGUCUAGAGGGUUACCCGCUUGUUGGUGGGGUAGGGGCUUACAAGGGUUUUGAAGGGUACGCGGCCUGGGAGGGGUACCGGCGACAAUGGGACUGAGAGACGGACCAGACUCCUACGGGACGCAGCAGUGGGGAAUAUUGCACAGUGGGCCGAAGCGUGAUGCAGCAGCGCCGCGUGCGGGAUGACGGCCUUCGGGUUGUAAACCGAUUUCGCCUGUGACGAAGCGUGAGUGACGGUAAUGGGUAAAGAAGCACCGGCUAACUACGUG